UACGGGGGGGGCAAGCGUUGUUCGGAAUUACUGGGCGUAAAGGGCUCGUAGGCGGCCAACUAAGUCGGAUGUGAAAUCCCCAGGCUUAACCUGGGAACUGCAUCCGAUACUGGAUGGCUUGAAUCCGGGAGAGGGAUGCGGAAUUCCAGGUGUAGCGGUGAAAUGCGUAGAUAUCUGGAGGAACACCGGUGGCGAAGGCGGCAUCCUGGACCGGCAUUGACGCUGUGGAGCGAAAGCCAGGGGAGCAAACGGG
rnacentral:rRNA from 1 species